AAACUAUACAUUUUAUUCGGGAAAUGUAGUGGAGUAAAAGUAAAAGUUUCCGGAAAUAUGAAUAACGAAGUAAAGUACAUAUAUGUGACAAUUCUACUUAGGUACAGUAACAUAAAAGUAUUUGUACUUCGUUACAUUACAACA